rnacentral:rRNA from 1 species
AACGAACGCUGGCGGCAUGCCUAACACAUGCAAGUCGAACGAAACCUUCGGGUCUAGGGGCGCACGGGUGCGUAACGAGUGGGAACCUGCCCUUAGGUUAGGAAUCACUCCCCGUAGGGGGUGCUCAUACCGGUUAAUGUCUUCGGGCCAAAGAGUUCUCGCCUUUGGAUGGGCGCGCGUGGGAUUGGCUAGUUGGUAGGGUAAAAGCCUGUCAAGGCGAGGAUCCAUAGCUGGUCUGAGAGGAUGAUUAGGAGCACUGGGACUGCGACACGGACCAGACUCGUACGGGAGGGAGCAGUAGGGAAUAUUGGACGAGGAGCGCAAGCCUGAUCAAGCAAUGCCGGGUGAGUGAUGAAGGCCGUAGGGUUGUACAGCCGUCUGACCCGGGAUGAUAAUGACAGUACCGGGAGAAUAAGCUCCGGCUAACUACGUG